ACCAAGGUGUGACCGUUAGUUCCCGGCUUAAGUUGAUCCACUUUGACGAACACCGGCUUCCUCUUUGCGGGUUUAUUUGCCCCACCGCCUUGCUGAUUCGAUGCCAUUGUUUCCGAUCCCGGAUUUCUGUGUUUUUCCUUCACGGAUUCACAAGCAUAUUGCUUCCGC